rnacentral:lncRNA from 1 species
UCAAGCUAGUGAGUCAGAAGUGCUUAUUGGUCAGGGAUGAAAUCAUAAGGAGUUGAUUUCUUAAGCUAAAUCAGUUCCUGGGUGGAAGCCGCAAGAUCAGAUGAGCCGGUUCAUUGGUCUGGGUGGAACCAGCUAAUCCAUCAAGUGCAACGCCUACAAAAUAUCUCAAGCACAGAUCUUAGGAGCAGUUUAGGGAGAGUCAGAAUCUUGUAGCCUCCAGCUGCAGUCCUAAACCAUGAUUCCUAAUCCUGUGGCUGCUGAUAGUCCCACAAAGACAAUCUAGUCCUCAGGCAAGAAGGAGGUCUGCUUUGGGAAAGAACUGUUACUGUCCUUGUUUAAACUAUCAACUAUAAAGUCCAAAAGGGAGUGUGGUUUCAAAGGCAAGGCCUUCCCAGUGCCAUACCUCCACUUACUUCUCCAUCCAGGAGCUUAGAGGUCUUUGUUUAACUUUCACGCAUGCGGGAAGAUGGACUGCCCAGGCUACCCUUCUCAAAGAUGAAAAAAAUCUGGAUGGGGUGGCAAAUAAGAAACAGGCCACCUGGACCUUCUUGAAGGGGAUCUCAUUCAGGAAGGCCAUUGGAGGGGCCAAGCAAUUCUUCAGAAGCAUGAUUUAGCUGAAGAAGAGAGAACUUGAAGUGAAUACCUUU